UGUGUGUGGCUAUUAUAGAAAAUGGAACAAGUCGAAGAAUCGAGUGGAUCUACAGAAUGGAAAUAGUUCCAAGACUUCCUCUCUUCUUGUCGGGAAGACAAUAGUCUGGACUUUUAGUGGUAUAUAAUAGAUUAUCGUGAUGAUACAAGGGUGGCAAUCUGCCUCCUGAUCUUGGUCGUACUUCUGCUGCAGUUGCAUAUCUUCGAAGCAAACGACUUCCUGCUGCUGCCGGCCCUGAAGAACCAAGCCCUCUCCAACAGUACAAUUAUUUCGAUUACCCUUCGACCCGCUCGGUUGUUGUGCAUGUUAACAGCGUGCAUAAACUUCGCGGUUGCACCUGUGCCUGGAGGCGUUGCGCCUUGGAGAAACCUCUUGGCCAUUCUGGACGCC